rnacentral:rRNA from 1 species
UCAGUGAAACUGAUCUCCCCGUGAAGAAGCGGGGAUACAAAUAUAAGACGAGAAGACCCCAUGGAGCUUUAAACCCAACAGCACCCGUUUAUUUUCAUCCUCACAUAAGUUAGGUUAUGCCUGUUUGGUUUUAGGUUGGGGUGACCACGGAGUAUAAAACAACCUCCAUGAAAAAAGGACCAAAAAUCCUUAUUAGAGAAAGACAUUUCUAAAAUUAAUAAAUUAAUUUUUAAUGAUCCGAUAUUCGAUCAACGAACCAAGUUACCCUGGGGAUAACAGCGCAAUCCACUUCAAGAGCUCCUAUCGACAAGUGGGUUUACGACCUCGAUGUUGGAUCAGGGUAUCCUAGUGGUGCAGCAGCUACUAACGGUUCGUUUGUUCAACGAUUA